AUGAGAACACACAUAGUAUAGGCGAAUCUUUGUUUACAUCUUUUUGCGCAUGCGCGUUUGGUUGGGUGGCAAGAAGACCUGUUGAGAUGGCGGAACCUGCUAGCAUAAACAAGAAAGUAAGCGGGCGAAAUCCAAAUUAUAUAAGUACGCUAAGCUCCGAAGACCAGAGGAGGUUUAGAGAGAAACUAAAAAUUUGUGUUGCAGACAAAAUCGAACAAAUACAAAGCCCAUAUGAAGUCUGGGAUGACGAAAAAUACUGGUCUGACUCACCUGCAUCUUGGCCACAGAUGUGCUGGGGAGAUAUUUAUUCUUAUUUAGUUGAAAGCCCUGGACCCUUCACCCACGAGAAGUUAAAAGCUUUUAAAAGCCUCGAAGCUUAUAACUAUUUUGUUUCAAGAAAGGUUGCGCCAAUCUUUUCGGUGAAACAAAAAUCAGUGGUCGUGCUCAAAGCGGAGGUCAGACCCGGCCAAGCAGAGUCACAGCGUGAUUCGCAUCUUCCGUGGGUGAUCGCCCAA